CCUACGGGUGGCAGCAGUGAGGAAUAUUGGUCAAUGGACGCAAGUCUGAACCAGCCAUGCCGCGUGCAGGAAGACGGCUCUAUGAGUUGUAAACUGCUUUUGUACGAGGGUAAACGCAGAUACGCGUAUCUGUCUGAAAGUAUCGUACGAAUAAGGAUCGGCUAACCCCGUGCCAGCAGCCGCGGUAAUAGGGAGGAUUAAAGCGUUAUCCGGAUUUAUUGGGUGUAAGGGGUGGGUAGGCGGUCGGAUAAGUUAGGGGUGAAAGCCCGAGGCUCAACGUCGGAAUUGCCUCUGAUACUGUUCGGCUAGAGAGUAGUUGCGGUAGGCGGAAUGUAUGGUGUAGCGGUGAAAUGCUUAGAGAUCAUACAGAACACCGAUUGCGAAGGCAGCUUACCAAGCUACUUCUGACGUUGAGGCACGAAAGCGUGGGGAGCAAACAGGAUUAGAUACCCCAGUAGUC
rnacentral:rRNA from 1 species